rnacentral:rRNA from 1 species
CCUACGGGAGGCAGCAGUGGGGAAUCUUGCGCAAUGGGCGAAAGCCUGACGCAGCGACGCCUCGUGGGGGAUGAAGGCUCUCGGGUUGUAAACCCCUUUCGGCAGGAACGAAAUUGACGGUACCUGAAGAAGAAGCACCGGCCAACUACGUGCCAGCAGCCGCGGUAAUACGUAGGGUGCAAGCGUUGUCCGGAUUUAUUGGGCGUAAAGAGCUCGUAGGCGGCUUCGUAAGUCGGGUGUGAAACCUCCAGGCUUAACCUGGAGACGCCACCCGAUACUGCGAUAGCUAGAGUCCGGUAGGGGAUCACGGAAUUCCUGGUGUAGCGGUGAAAUGCGCAGAUAUCAGGAGGAACACCGAUGGCGAAGGCAGUGAUCUGGGCCAGUACUGACGCUGAGGAGCGAAAGCGCGGGGAGCAAACAGGAUUAGAUACCCUGGUAGUCCACGCCGUAAACGUUGGGCACUAGGUGUGGGUCCUUAUCAACGGGAUCCGUGCCGCAGCUAACGCAAUAAGUGCCCCGCCUGGGGAGUACGGUCGCAAGACUAAAACUCAAAUGAAUUGACGG